AAUGGCCACGUGCAUUCUUAGGCUACUAACAUGUAUUUGCUAUUGUUAUUGCUUGAGAAUACACGUAGUUAAC
rnacentral:pre_miRNA from 1 species